ensembl:lncRNA
GUGUGUGGGUAUGUGGAGGUGUGUGUGUGUGUGUGGAGUUGUGUGUAUUUGGAGGAGUGUGUGUGCGUGCGUGCGUGCAUGCGUGUGUGUGAGUGUGUAGAGGUCUGUGUGAACGCAACACAGACAUAACCUUCCUGUAUCCCCUCUAAAUGAGGACCUCCACGUCUAAGGAGAAGCGCUCUGAGAGGAUCCAUGGGCUCUGCUGCCCAUCUGGAACCGGGGGCUCUAGGCUAGCUCCUCUCUGGAACCGGGGGCUCUAGGCUAGCUCCUCUCUGGAACCGGGGGCUCUAGGCUAGCUCCUCUCUGGAACCGGAGGCUCUAGGCUAGCUCCUCUCUGGAACCGGGGGCUCUAGGCUAGCUCCUCUCUGGAACCGGGGGCCCUAGGCUAGCUCCUCUCUGGAACCGGAGGCUCUAGGCUAGCUCCUCUCUGGAACCGGGGGCUCUAGGCUAGCUCCUCUCUGGAACCGGGGGCCCUAGGCUAGCUCCUCUCUGGAACCGGGGGCCCUAGGCUAGCUCCUCUCUGGUGGAAUCCCUUCAAAUACUGAAGUUCUGUCAGGCUAUAUGCUUAAGUUCUGUUAGGAUAAUUACUGAAGUUCUUUCAGGCUAAAUAUUUUUGUUAUGUUAGGCUAAAUACUUAAGAUUUGUUAGACGAAAAACGUAAGUUCUGUUAGGCUUAACACUUAUGUUCUGAUAGGCUAAGUACUUAAGUUAUGUUAGGCUAAAUACUUAAGUUCUGUCAGGCUAAAUAUUUUAGUUAUGUUAGGCUAAAUACUUCAACCAAUUUUAAAAGAGAAGAGAGAAGAUCACGAAAUUUUGCAAGUAGUUGUAGCAGAAGUAGUAGUUUUGAUGCUGUGGAGAGAUUAACAGGUUGGUAGUUUGCAAGAUGAUGUAUACGGUAAACCUGAUGUUUCUUGCUGAUAUUAUAGAUUUUGUAGAAUUCUAGCAACAUGUGUAUUAUUACCAAGUAAUAUCAGUAUAUAUACAUGAUUUGUAAUGUCAGUACAUAUUCAUGAUUAGUAAUGUCAGUAGAUAAACACAAUUCGUAAUGUCAGUACAUAUACAUGAUUAGUAAUGUCAGUACAUGAAUAGUUUGUUUCUGCUCUGUUGAGUGAGUUUUAUGACCAAUAGAAAACACAUGUGCCCUAGAAGUGACUCCUUAGUCUACAGUAGAGUGAAGUGUGAAUAAAUAAAUCCCUGUUGAUGUGUUGGUGGCCUUCACUCUCUCCGGCACAUGUCCUCCCACGUUUCAACUGACACUUUGAUUCUCUCACUGAGGACAAUUCUUACUUGGUGGAAGAGUGUUACCUAGUAGACAGCUGGUGAACAGGUGUUACCUAGUGGACAGCUGGUGAACAGGUGUUACCUAGUGGACAGCUGGUGUACAGGUGUUACCUAGUGGACAGGUGUUACCUAGUAGACAGCUGGUGAACAGGUGUUACCUAGUGAACAGGUGUUACCUAGUAGACAGGUGUUACCUAGUGGACAGGUGUUACCUAGUGGACAGGUGUUACCUAGCGGGCAGCUGGUGAACAGGUGUUACCUAGUGGACAGCAGGUGAACAGGUGUUACCUAGUGGACAGGUGUUACCUAGUGGACAGGUGUUACCUAGUGGACAGGUGUUACCUAGUGGACAGGUGUUACCUGGUGGACAGGUGUUACCUAGUGGACAGGUGUUACCUAGUGGACAGGUGUUACCUAGUGAACAGGUGUUACCUAGUGGACAGGUGUUACCUAGUAGACAGGUGCUACCUAGUAGACAGGUGCUACCUAGUGAACAGCUGUUACCUGGUGAACAGGCCUUACCUGGGUAACAUCUGGACAGGUACAGUACAGGUCCAGAUAAUUAUUCAGUGUUCUGACAGGUCACCCUCUGUGUAGACUACCAGCCAGAAGCAGCUGAUCAUUUAAUUAACAUAGGAAGCCUAAUUAUCCCAGCGCUGAACAUUUUGCCAAAUUAUCUGUUGCACUCGUUCUGAAUAAGCGAUAUUCGUAACACAUUAGAAACCUUGGAAUGUAUUUAAAAGCAUGUCCCCCUCGCUGGAGGAGGAGCUAGCCUACAGUUACCCUCAAGUCAAUGGGAGCGGCUAACAGAAAGCUAACCCCACAAACCCCCCUUCUGGAUGUAC